CAGGAAGAGAAGUUGGUCAGGAGACUCAGAGGUCAGGAAAGAAAGACUCACCAGCCAGGCCGCACACAGCUGCCCGAGGCCAAGCUACCAGGGUGAUACCGCUGAGCGCAGAAUGGGAGGAGAUGCACACACGGUGGCUGUCACGAGCUGUGCCAGCUGUGUCCCUAUGCUGUGUGCACAUCUGGCUCCGCCCACUGAGCGAUUCGGCCAAGCCCUGCACUGGAUGUAGGAGAGGAGGAUGUCACCUCAUGCCCGAGGGGGUCAGGAGUACCCAGUGCCCUCCAGCAACACCAGGAACCUGUCUUACUCUCCGUCAAUUAUUAAAUAUUCACAACGAUCAUCAUCUCUUUCAUCUUUAUUACUUAAGCC